rnacentral:rRNA from 1 species
UACGUAGGGUGCAAGCGUUACUCGGAAUUACUGGGCGGAAAGCGUGCGCAGGCGGUUGUGCAAGACAGAUGUGAAAUCCCCGGGCUUAACCUGGGAACUGCAUUUGUGACUGCACGGCUAGAGUGUGUCAGAGGGGGGUAGAAUUCCACGUGUAGCAGUGAAAUGCGUAGAUAUGUGGAGGAAUACCGAUGGCGAAGGCAGCCCCCUGGGAUAACACUGACGCUCAUGCACGAAAGCGUGGGGAGCAAACAGG